rnacentral:lncRNA from 12 species
UUCACCCAAAUAUGAGAAUUUAAUUAUUAUACUAAACCUAUAUGCUGUUUGUUUUUUGUAUUUUUGGGUUGGUACCAGUAUAUAUUUGUUCAAAUAAUUGUACUUCAUAGAACUGUGAGGCUCAAAAAAAAGUAUAUGAAUAUCCACAUCGGUUUCUUAAAAGUAAACAAAAUAAAAUAAAUAGCUUUAACCAGCUUAAGCUGGUUCUCUAGUCUCCUAGACUGGCCAGUUGGCUGGUUUUAGAGUGGUUUGGGGCAGCUUGUGAGACUAGGAAAUCAGAUAGAAUAUCUGGAAACCAGCUUGGCCAGCCUGGAAGACCUUCUUAAAACAGCAAACACAUUUUGGCUAACCAAAAUCAUUAUUCAUAAUCUUGCUACCCAAAGCUUAUGUCUGGCUGACGUUCAUAAUUCAAUAGAUAGAUAGAUUUUUACCUCAUACUAUAUAAUUCAGUGUAAUUGCAGCCUCAUUAUGGCCUCUGGGUUUUAGGGUGACAUGAAGCACUGCGCUGUUCUCAAAGGGCAGAUGGAGUGGCAGAGGGCACACACCUCAGGGCAUGACCGAUCUAGGACACUGUCCCUGUGCUGCCACUCACCUGGGAGGCGUGCUGCUCAGUGAUAAUGGCAGUGGGAGAACCAGAAGCAGCUAUCCGCCUCUAGUGAUGCUGAAAUGGGAUUUGGGCUUUGCUCGGGCGGAGGAGGUUAUUAUGGAUCAGGGGGGCCUGGUUUUGAAACAGAGCUAAACUGGGCUGUGGUACGACUUGAACCGCUGGGAUGUCUGUUAGCUUUCCUCGCUAACAAUGGCAGAUAAGACAAAAGUGGUUGUUUGCCAUCUCUCUCUUACACACCGGCCCAUUAAAGGUGUGCUGUUAUCUGAUAAGCCGUGAGGGGUGUGAUCACUUACACACAUAAACACACAAAUACACACCUGCUGUCCCUCAUUCAGUGCUCACUUAUGACCUCAAACCCAUCUCACUCGGUCCACAGUGUCCCUACACUGAAAGAGAGAGAAACUGUUUUGUGGCUCUGUGAUUUUUCUGUUGUUUUGUUCUCGUUCAAGUGCCCUCCUAGCUUAUUUUCCUUUAUUCUUAUCAUUCCAUCUGGCUGCUAGUCACACAUUAAUCUAAAUUCUAAACAGGGUUCUUCCAGUGGUGUUAUCAACUCGUCGUUGAUGUGAGCGUUGGCCCAGGAGAGGGGACGCGGGCAAAGGGGGGAAAAACAACACACAGCACAACAAAUUGAUGUGGAUGGGGGAAUGAGUGAGUGAGAGACAGAGAGAGAGAGAGAGAGAGAGAGAGAGAGAAAGAGAGAGAGAGAGCUUGUAUGCAUGCUUGACUAUUGCACCAAGCUGCAUCAUGACUUCAGUACAGGUGUGAGAUUUAAUCAGAGGUAUAAAAAUUGUCUCAGAAGACUGAAUGUAUAUUCACAUUGAAUGUAAUUUGCAGUGCUGUGUAACCCACUGCAAGUUUGUCUAUUAAUACAACAUUGUUUACAGAUCAAAAGAUUUUACCUAAAAGUAAACAUAAGUAAACAGUUUCACAAUAUAUUGUAAUAUUACUGAAGCUUAAAUGGUUGGUUUAAACAUAUUAUUUUUAUUAUUAUUAUUGAUGUUAUUUAUUUAUUGACCUAUUUAAUAAUAAUAAUAAUAAUAAUAAUAAAACAUUAUUUUAAUUAUUAUCAUUGAUGUUAUUUAUGUAUUGACCUGUUUACUUAUUCAUUUAUCACUAAAUUUUUACCUAAAAAAGUAAACUAGUUUUUUUUUUUUUUUUAAACAACAUCUUGUACUUCAUGUAAAAAAAAAAAAAAAAAAAUCCUACUUACUUCUUUUGAAAGUCAUACAAGUUUGCAACAAAACAAGGGUAAGUAACUAAUUAAAAAAACAUAUUUUUGGGAUAAUCUACAUUUGUGAAAGGGGCACUGAGAGCACAAUGUUUGUUCACCUCAAAAUGUUCUUUGGACUUGCUGUAUGGGCUUACAAAACUGCCUAAAGUCAUGACACAGGGGUCUUUGAGAGGUAUUACUACACUAAGCAAGGGUGCUCAUGCUGGGCCGGGGCUAAGCUGAGCUGCCCCCUGUCCUGUCCUGACAAACUGGGCUGAUAAAGUUUUCCUGGAGCUGUGUCGCAUCCUUAAAUUAGUCCCUGCUUGUCUCCCCUCAGGUUCUGGCUCAGGUAGACUACCAGUGCACUGCCAGAGGGAAGUUCACUGUAAUCUACAGAUUUAGCAGCAGGGUGCCACGUGUUCCUCUACCAGUGCCAUCCUAAAUUGAAUAGGAUCUCUUCCUUUUCCCUGCAUACUGCAG